CCUACGGGCGGCAGCAGUGGGGAAUAUUGGACAAUGGGGGCAACCCUGAUCCAGCCAUGCCGCGUGUGUGAAGAAGGCCCUCGGGUUGUAAAGCACUUUCAGUGAGGAAGAACGCCUGGUGGUUAAUACCCAUCAGGAAAGACAUCACUCACAGAAGAAGCACCGGCUAACUCCGUUCCAGCAGCCGCGGUAAUACGGAGGGUGCGAGCGUUAAUCGGAAUUACUGGGCGUAAAGCGCGCGUAGGUGGCUUGAUAAGCCGGUUGUGAAAGCCCCGGGCUCAACCUGGGAACGGCAUCCGGAACUGUCAAGCUAGAGUGCAGGAGAGGAAGGUAGAAUUCCCGGUGUAGCGGUGAAAUGCGUAGAGAUCGGGAGGAAUACCAGUGGCGAAGGCGGCCUUCUGGACUGACACUGACACUGAGGUGCGAAAGCGUGGGUAGCAAACAGGAUUAGAUACCCGUGUAGUC
rnacentral:rRNA from 1 species